rnacentral:rRNA from 1 species
CCUACGGGAGGCAGCAGUGAGGAAUAUUGGUCAAUGGACGCAAGUCUGAACCAGCCAUGCCGCGUGCAGGAAGACGGCUCUAUGAGUUGUAAACUGCUUUUGUACGAGGGUAAACGCAGAUACGCGUAUCUGUCUGAAAGUAUCGUACGAAUAAGGAUCGGCUAACUCCGUGCCAGCAGCCGCGGUAAUACGGAGGAUUCAAGCGUUAACCGGAUUUAUUGGGUUUAAAGGGUGCGUAGGCGGUCGGAUAAGUUAGGGGUGAAAUCCCGAGGCUCAACUUCGGAAUUGCCUCUGAUACUGUUAGGCUAGAGAGUAGUUGCGGUAGGCGGAAUGUAUGGUGUAGCGGUGAAAUGCUUAGAGAUCAUACAGAACACCGAUUGCGAAGGCAGCUUACCAAGCUACGUCUGACGUUGAGGCACGAAAGCGUGGGGAGCAAACAGGAUUAGAUACCCGGGUAGUC